CCUACGAGUGGCAGCAGUGAGGAAUAUUGGUCAAUGGACGAGAGUCUGAACCAGCCACGUCGCGUGAAGGAUGACUGCCCUCUGGGUUGUAAACUUCUUUUAUAUGGGAAUAAAAUGUUCCACGUGUGGGAUUUUGUAUGUACCAUAUGAAUAAGGAUCGGCUAAAUCCGUGCCAGCAGCCGCGGUAAUACGGAGGAUGCGAGCGUUAUCCGGAUUUAUUGGGUUUAAAGGGAGCGUAGGUGGAUUGUUAAGUCAGUUGGGAAAGUUUGCGGCUAAACCGUAAAAUUGCAGUUGAAACUGGCAGGCUUGAGUACAGGAGAGGUGGGCGGAAUUCGUGGUGUAGCGGUGAAAUGCUUAGAUAUCACGAAGAACUCCGAUUGCGAAGGCAGCUCACUGGACUGCAACUGACACUGAGGCUCGAAAGUGUGGGUAUCAAACAGGAUUAGAUACCCCUGUAGUC
rnacentral:rRNA from 1 species